rnacentral:piRNA from 1 species
UGGAAUGAUUGAGGAGGUCUGGUCACC